GACGAACGCUGGCGGCGUGCUUAACACAUGCAAGUCGAACGAGUGGGAACGGGUGAGUAACACGUGGGUAACCUCCCAUCAGAGGGGAUAACACUUGGAAACAGGUGCUAAACCGAUACUGAUGGAUGGACCCGCGGUGCAUUAGCUAGUUGGUGAGGUAACGGCUCACCAAGGCCACGAUGCAUAGCCGACCUGAGAGGGUGAUCGGCCACACUGGGACUGAGACACGGCCCAGAAGCCUACGGGAGGCAGCAGUAGGGAAUCUUCGGCAAUGGACGAAAGUCUGACCGAGCAACGCCGCGUGAGUGAAGAAGGUUUUCGGAUCGUAAAGCUCUGUUAAUCGGGACGCGGUACCGGAAUAGAAAGCCACGGCUAACUACGUGCCAGCCGCCGCGGUAAUAC
rnacentral:rRNA from 1 species